UACCAGCAGAGCACUUCCCCGUAAGUUCAGAGUUCCUCCAUGUUUUUAUUUCGUUCGUCGCCAACAGUUUUCAAUUCCAUGUCUUGCAGUCCGUAAGAGGAUUUAGACUUACCAGAACUGCAAGAACUGCAACAGCGAGCGUAAAUGCCAAAGGUUUUUGGCGCUUGGUGGCGGUGAGGCGUGCCCCCUUCUGAUUCGUCGUUUCCAGCGUCGAGGUAUGCGUGUUUCUCUGCUUCUCUGUCUGCUUGAUUCUAUUUUCUUUUAUUUCUGGACUGAUUUGGUGUGGAUUUUUUACUUCGCUUUUGUGGCAGAAGGACGGGAUGUCAAUGAUGGGAGACAAGAUUGACUACAUGAAGGAGCCACUGCAGCGGAAGAUGCAGGAGCAGCCACACGAUGCUGACACGGCGGUGGCGUUGUUGAGGCUCUUCCUGGAAUCAAACCUGAACGAGAUGAAGCUAGGAGAGGGCGACACCCAGGUGGAGAUGUACUGUGCCGCCAAAUCAUACAUUUUUGAUGUUUCUAUGGGGAUCCUUCAGGUGUUCCUCAACUUUCGUCUUUAGAUGAUGAAUGUGAUUCUUCUGCUGAUUGGCUUGAGCACAAGGGCCAUUCGAGAUCACAGGGAGGAAGCCCUGUUGGCCUCGCUAACGGCCGGUCCAUGUAUUCGUGCUCUAUGCAACAUUGGGCUAUUCUACAUGUGGAUUUGGUGUGUUUUGUUGAACUUGAUAUCUAAAUUUGAGUGUUUCUAUGUGGCCUGUACGAGGUUGGUUUUCUGAUUUCAGAACUGGAGAAUGUUGGUAUA